UCAAUUAUGAAGGUUCUAACUCCAGCAAUCAAAAGGCUAUUACAUAAUCUCACUGUGCCCUAAACGCUUAAAGGGUCAAGAUUGCAGCUUUUCUUUUUAUAUAUAAAAAAAAAAAAACUGAAACUCAUGAAAUUUGCUCAUUUGGGCAGUAAACAAAGACCGAUUUCUUGUUGUAAAACCCGAACCCACCCCAUUAUCCCCAUGGCUAAUUGCUUUCUAUUCAAUUUCAGAUACAGAUAGAUGCGUGCGUGUGAGUGAAUUUUUGGCAUCGGAAACGACAAAAAGGAAAAUGAGGGAGAAGGACUAGAUAGAGAAAAGACUGAAAAGGGUUUUGAGGGUUUCGUCGGGAACGACUUAAUUAGCGAGGGCCAACCGAGAAUAACUAUGACGAUCUUUUGAUCCUUCCAAAUAUAUAUAUGCCCCAUUUGCCCACUUCCUCUAUUGCAUACAGAGAUCAUGGAUUCAACUAUCUGAUUAUUAUUAUUAUUAUUAUUUUUAUCUCGUCUUUGCGAGUCUUCAUCCUCCUCUUCUCCUUCUUCUUCUUCCCUUUUCAAUUAUUUGCACCCAUCUCCCUCCACCUUUUCCCUUUGUCUCUCUUUCUUCCUCGUUCUUAAUUGCUUUGAUGCUUCCACGCAUCUUAAAUAAACCCAUCUGCCUCAUCUUAUGUCUAUUGUCGAAAAAAUUGAUUUCUGUCGCCUUCUUUGAGUUCUUUCUAUGCGUUUAUGUCGUCCUCCAGUGGUGAAUACAAGGGACCAUUUUUAGCUUUCAUGUGGGUUUAACAAAGGGUUUCUUACAGAGUUUAUUGGCAUUCUGUCCACCUCCCAUCUAUGGAAAUCUUCUCUUUUUCUUUUGUGGAGGUGGGCAUACUGUCAAGUGAGCUCUGUUGGUCUCUCUUUGUAAAACCCUCAUGAUCAUGUCUCUUUCAGUUCUCUCUCCCCUGUGAAACCCAUCGAGUCGGUGCUUAUCUUUCGAUUGCCAUACUGGCCAUCUACUCAUAUCAUCCAACUUCACUUCCAUAACCAUAAGGACGAAGAUCUCUUAAAGGUGCUUCCUUUUAUCAUCUUAUUUAAAUAUGCUCAUAUUUGUAGUUUAUAGCAACAUCAUGGACAGGUCUUCUGUUUGGUUUUUCACCUUUUUCUAGAUCUUCAUGUGGGGAACUUCAUUUUUGUACCCUUUUCUCUUCAGUUUCUGGUUUUGUUUGUUUCCUUCUAUUUCAUCAAAAGCUGAUAUAUCUGCUUCGUUUAUGUCUCUUCCGAUCUAGGGUUUUGUCUGUCCUUUCCUUUUUCUUGCUUCUUCUCCAGGUCAGGGAAUUAGGGCUCAAGAUGGAAACGGAUUCGAGUGUUUGAACUAUGAAGGUCUGAUCUUUCCUUCUCAAGUCGAAAACGUCUUUGUGAAGGACAAAUCAGUGGCUCCAUAAGAAGGGUUCUUGGAUUAAAGCUGUUAAUUUUUUAUAAAUGAUAAUUUUAAUUAUCAGAUUACAAUCAAAGGUGGAGAUUUUAUUGUUCCUGGCUCCAUGCAUGUCUGCCACCGCUUUUCCUUGUUUCGCUUAUUUUAUUUACAAUAAUAAUUAUCGUAGGACAGGUCCCCUUCAUUUUUAGGGCAGACCUACUUA